AACGUAGGUGGCAAGCGUUAUCCGGAUUUACUGGGCGUAAAGGGUGUGCAGGCGGGGGUGCAAGUGGUGUAUGAAAUCUCCCGGCUUAACCGGGGGGGGUUAUGCCAGACUGCAAUUCUAGAGGACGAGAGAGGGGGGUGGAAUUCCGGGUGUAGUGGUGAAAUUCGUAGAUAUUCGGAGGAACACCAGUGGCGAAGGCGGCUCACUGGUCCGGUACUGACGCUGAGGUGCGAAAGCGUGGGGAGCAAACAGG
rnacentral:rRNA from 1 species